UGGUUCUGGCAUCNAUGAAGAACGCAGCGAAAUGCGAUAAGUAAUGUGAAUUGCAGAAUUCAGUGAAUCAUCGAAUCUUUGAACGCACAUUGCGCCCUUUGGUAUUCCGAAGGGCAUGCCUGUUCGAGCGUCAUUACAACCACUCAAGCUCCCGCUUGGUCUUGAGGCUCGCGACCCCGCGGCCCCUAAAAUCAGUGGCGGUGCCUGUCGGCUCUACGCGUAGUACUGCUCCUCGCGUCUGGGUCCGGCAGGGUGCCUGCCAGCAACCCCCUCUUUCUACAGGUUGACCUCGGAUCAGGUAGGGAUACCCGCUGA
rnacentral:misc_RNA from 1 species